GGAGUCGGUGGCUCGGUGGUAGAGUGCCUGCUUUGGUUUUAUGAUGUCCUGGGUUCAAUCCCCAGCUUCUCCC